AUAACCGUAGUAAUUCUAGAGCUAAUACAUGCAGGAAUUCCCGACUUCGGAAGGGAUGUAUUUAUUAAAUAAGAAACCAAACCGGUCUCCGGUUGUGUGCUGAGUCAUAAUAACUGCUCGAAUCGCACAGCUCUACGCUGGCGAUGGUUCAUUCAAAUUUCUGCCCUAUCAGCUUUCGAUGGUAGGAUAGAGGCCUACCAUGGCGUUAACGGGUAACGGAGAAUUAUGGUUCGAUUCCGGAGAGGGAGCCUGAGAAAUGGCUACCACAUCCAAGGAAGGCAGCAGGCGCGUAAAUUGCCCGAAUCCUGACACAGGGAGGUAGCGACAAGAAAUAACAAUACAGGGUUCUCUGAGUCUUGUAAUUGGAAUGAGUACAAUUUACAUCUCUUCACGAGGAUCAAUUGGAGGGCAAGUCUGGUGCUAGCAGCCGCGGUAAUUCCAGCUCCAAUAGCGUAUAUUAAAGUUGUUGCAGUAAAAACGACUUCGUAGUCGGAUUUCGGGGCGGGGCCGCCGGUCUGCCGAUAGGUAUGCACUGGCUGG
rnacentral:rRNA from 1 species